CAAGUCGAGUGCGCGUCUGUAGCAAUACAGAUGGCGCACGGCGCACGGGUGCGUAACACGUGGGCAAUCUGCCCUUCGAUGGGGAAUAACUCCGGGAAACCGAAGCUAAUUCCGCAUAACAUUCCUUGGACCUCGGUUCGGGGACUCAAAGCCGUAAGGCGUCGAAGGAGGAGCCCGCGCCCGAUUAGCUAGUUGGUGAGGUAACGGCUCACCAAGGCAAUGAUCGGUAGCUGGUCUGAGAGGAUGGCCAGCCACACUGGAACUGAGACACGGUCCAGACUCCUACGGGAGGCAGCAGUGGGGAAUCUUGCGCAAUGGGCGAAAGCCUGACGCAGCGACGCCGCGUGGGGGAUGAAGCAUCUCGGUGUGUAAACCCCUUUCGACUGGGACGAAUGCCUCGCAAGAGGAGUGACGGUACCAGUAGAAGAAGCCCCGGCUAACUACGUGCCAGCAGCCGCGGUAAGACGUAGGGGGCCAGCGUUGUUCGGAAUUACUGGGUGUAAAGGGUUCGUAGGCGGUGUGGCAAGUCGGGAGUGAAAUCUAUGGGCUUAACCCAUAGGCUGCUUCCGAAACUGCCGUGCUUGAGUGUGGGAGAGGCGCGUGGAAUUGCAGGUGUAGCGGUGAAAUGCGUAGAUAUCUGCAGGAACACCCGUGGCGAAAGCGGCGCGCUGGACCACUACUGACGCUGAGGAACGAAAGCUAGGGGAGCAAACAGGAUUAGAUACCCUGGUAGUCCUAGCCCUAAACGAUCAGGACUUGGGGUGCCACCCGUUCGGGUGUCGUCCCGGAGCUAACGCGUUAAGUCCUGCACCUGGGGAGUACGGUCGCAAGACUGAAACUCAAAGGAAUUGACGGGGGCCCGCACAAGCGGUGGAACA
rnacentral:rRNA from 1 species